AGUGCUAAAAGAAUGGAUUUUCAAAAAAACUCUUUUUUAAAUUUAAAAAUUGAAGUUAUUUUUAUUUGUGAAGAAACAAUAAUAAAAAUUAAGGACAAGAAGACCCUAAGAAUUUUUAUAAAUAUAUUAAUAAAUAGAUAUUAAUAUAUUUAUUUAAUUGGGGCGAUUAAUGAAUAUUUUUAACUUCAAGUUAAUAUUAACAUGAUCCAUUAAUAAUGAUUAUAUGCAAUAAAUACUCUAGGGAUAACAGCG
rnacentral:rRNA from 1 species